AUACGGAGGAUCCGAGCGUUAUCCGGAUUUAUUGGGUUUAAAGGGUGCGCAGGCGGCCGUUUAAGUCAGCGGUUAAAUCGUGGGGCUCAACCCCAUUCUGCCGUUGAUACUGGGUGGCUUGAUUGCGGUCGAGGUUGGCGGAAUUCGUUGUGUAGCGGUGAAAUGCAUAGAUAUGACGAAGAACACCGAUUGCGUAGGCAGCUGACCAGAUCGCAAAUGACGCUCAUGCACGAAAGUGCGGGGAUCGAACAGGAUUAGAUACCCUGGUAGUCCGCACAGUAAACGAUGAAUACUUGUUUUCGGCGAUAUAAUGUCGGAGGCAAAGCGAAAGCGAUAAGUAUUCCACCUGGGGAGUACGCCGGCAACGGUGAAACUCAAAUGAAUUGGCGGGG
rnacentral:rRNA from 1 species